CCUACGGGAGGCAGCAGUGGGGAAUUUUGGACAAUGGGCGCAAGCCUGAUCCAGCAAUGCCGCGUGAGUGAAGAAGGCCUUCGGGUUGUAAAGCUCUUUUGUCAGGGAAGAAACGGUUCGGGUUAAUACCUUGGGCUAAUGACGGUACCUGAAGAAUAAGCACCGGCUAACUACGUGCCAGCAGCCGCGGUAAUACGUAGGGUGCAAGCGUUAAUCGGAAUUACUGGGCGUAAAGCGUGCGCAGGCGGUUGUGCAAGACAGAUGUGAAAUCCCCGGGCUCAACCUGGGAAUUGCAUUUGUGACUGUACGGCUAGAGUGUGUCAGAGGGGGGUAGAAUUCCACGUGUAGCAGUGAAAUGCGUAGAGAUGUGGAGGAAUACCGAUGGCGAAGGCAGCCCCCUGGGAUAACACUGACGCUCAUGCACGAAAGCGUGGGGAGCAAACAGGAUUAGAUACCCUGGUAGUCCACGCCCUAAACGAUGUCUACUAGUUGUCGGGUCUUUAUUGACUUGGUAACGCAGCUAACGCGUGAAGUAGACCGCCUGGGGAGGUACGGUCGGUCGAAGAAGUUAAAUAACGUUAAAUUAGUAAGUUAGACGGCGUGAGACGUUGCCGAGGACGACGACGAGGGAGGAGG
rnacentral:rRNA from 1 species